GUCUGGAAAGGCGCGCGAUACAGGGUGACAGCCCCGUACACAAAAAUGCACAUAUUGUGAGCUCGAUGAGUAGGGCGGGACACGUGGUAUCCUGUCUGAAUAUGGGGGGCCCAUCCUCCAAGGCUAAAUACUCCUGACUGACCGAUAGUGAACCAGUACCGUGAGGGAAAGGCGAAAAGAACCCCGGCGAGGGGAGUGAAAAAGAACCUGAAACCGUGUACGUACAAGCAGUGGGAGCACGCUUAGGCGUGUGACUGCGUACCUUUUGUAUAAUGGGUCAGCGACUUAUAUUCUGUAGCAAGGUUAACCGAAUAGGGGAGCCGAAGGGAAACCGAGUCUUAACUGGGCGUUAAGUUGCAGGGUAUAGACCCGAAACCCGGUGAUCUAGCCAUGGGCAGGUUGAAGGUUGGGUAACACUAACUGGAGGACCGAACCGACUAAUGUUGAAAAAUUAGCGGAUGACUUGUGGCUGGGGGUGAAAGGCCAAUCAAACCGGGAGAUAGCUGGUUCUCCCCGAAAGCUAUUUAGGUAGCGCCUCGUGAAUUCAUCUCCGGGGGUAGAGCACUGUUUCGGCAAGGGGGUCAUCCCGACUUACCAACCCGAUGCAAACUGCGAAUACCGGAGAAUGUUAUCACGGGAGACACACGGCGGGUGCUAACGUCCGUCGUGAAGAGGGAAACAACCCAGACCGCCAGCUAAGGUCCCAAAGUCAUGGUUAAGUGGGAAACGAUGUGGGAAGGCCCAGACAGCCAGGAUGUUGGCUUAGAAGCAGCCAUCAUUUAAAGAAAGCGUAAUAGCUCACUGGUCGAGUCGGCCUGCGCGGAAGAUGUAACGGGGCUAAACCAUGCACCGAAGCUGCGGCAGCGACGCUUAUGCGUUGUUGGGUAGGGGAGCGUUCUGUAAGCCUGCGAAGGUGUGCUGUGAGGCAUGCUGGAGGUAUCAGAAGUGCGAAUGCUGACAUAAGUAACGAUAAAGCGGGUGAAAAGCCCGCUCGCCGGAAGACCAAGGGUUCCUGUCCAACGUUAAUCGGGGCAGGGUGAGUCGACCCCUAAGGCGAGGCCGAAAGGCGUAGUCGAUGGGAAACAGGUUAAUAUUCCUGUACUUGGUGUUACUGCGAAGGGGGGACGGAGAAGGCUAUGUUGGCCGGGCGACGGUUGUCCCGGUUUAAGCGUGUAGGCUGGUUUUCCAGGCAAAUCCGGAAAAUCAAGGCUGAGGCGUGAUGACGAGGCACUACGGUGCUGAAGCAACAAAUGCCCUGCUUCCAGGAAAAGCCUCUAAGCAUCAGGUAACAUCAAAUCGUACCCCAAACCGACACAGGUGGUCAGGUAGAGAAUACCAAGGCGCUUGAGAGAACUCGGGUGAAGGAACUAGGCAAAAUGGUGCCGUAACUUCGGGAGAAGGCACGCUGAUAUGUAGGUGAAGUCCCUUGCGGAUGGAGCUGAAAUCAGUCGAAGAUACCAGCUGGCUGCAACUGUUUAUUAAAAACACAGCACUGUGCAAACACGAAAGUGGACGUAUACGGUGUGACGCCUGCCCGGUGCCGGAAGGUUAAUUGAUGGGGUCAGCGCAAGCGAAGCUCUUGAUCGAAGCCCCGGUAAACGGCGGCCGUAACUAUAACGGUCCUAAGGUAGCGAAAUUCCUUGUCGGGUAAGUUCCGACCUGCACGAAUGGCGUAAUGAUGGCCAGGCUGUCUCCACCCGAGACUCAGUGAAAUUGAACUCGCUGUGAAGAUGCAGUGUACCCGCGGCAAGACGGAAAGACCCCGUGAACCUUUACUAUAGCUUGACACUGAACAUUGAGCCUUGAUGUGUAGGAUAGGUGGGAGGCUUUGAAGUGUGGACGCCAGUCUGCAUGGAGCCGGCCUUGAAAUACCACCCUUUAAUGUUUGAUGUUCUAACGUGGACCCGUGAUCCGGGUUGCGGACAGUGUCUGGUGGGUAGUUUGACUGGGGCGGUCUCCUCCUAAAGAGUAACGGAGGAGCACGAAGGUUGGCUAAUCCUGGUCGGACAUCAGGAGGUUAGUGCAAUGGCAUAAGCCAGCUUGACUGCGAGCGUGACGGCGCGAGCAGGUGCGAAAGCAGGUCAUAGUGAUCCGGUGGUUCUGAAUGGAAGGGCCAUCGCUCAACGGAUAAAAGGUACUCCGGGGAUAACAGGCUGAUACCGCCCAAGAGUUCAUAUCGACGGCGGUGUUUGGCACCUCGAUGUCGGCUCAUCACAUCCUGGGGCUGAAGUAGGUCCCAAGGGUAUGGCUGUUCGCCAUUUAAAGUGGUACGCGAGCUGGGUUUAGAACGUCGUGAGACAGUUCGGUCCCUAUCUGCCGUGGGCGCUGGAGAACUGAGGGGGGCUGCUCCUAGUACGAGAGGACCGGAGUGGACGCAUCACUGGUGUUCGGGUUGUCAUGCCAAUGGCACUGCCCGGUAGCUAAAUGCGGAAGAGAUAAGUGCUGAAAGCAUCUAAGCACGAAACUUGCCCCGAGAUGAGUUCUCCCUGACCCUUUAAGGGUCCUGAAGGAACGUUGAAGACGACGACGUUGAUAGGCCGGGUGUGUAAGCGCAGCGAUGCGUUGAGCUAACCGGUACUAAUGAACCGUGAGG
rnacentral:rRNA from 1 species